rnacentral:pre_miRNA from 1 species
CAGAUACUCCCUCCGUCCCAAAAUUCUUGUCUUAGAUGUUUUUAGAUAUGGAUGCAUUUAAAUACUAAAAUGUAACUAGAUACAUCCAUAUCUAGACAAAUUCAAAACAAUAAUUUUGAGACGGAGGGAGUAAUAA